GAUGAGCGCUGGCGGCGUGCCUAAUACAUGCAAGUCGAGCGGUAACAGGUCUAGUUUACUAGAUGCUGACGAGCGGCGGACGGCUGAGUAACACGUAGGAACGUACCCCAAAGUGAGGGAUAACUGCUCGAAAGAGUAGCUAAUACCGCAUGUGAUCUAAGGAUUAAAGCUUUAUGCGCUUUGGGAACGGCCUGCGUUCGAUUAGCUAGUUGGUGAGGUAAUAGCUCACCAAGGCGAUGAUCGAUAGCUGGUCUGAGAGGAUGAUCAGCCAGACUGGGACUGAGACACGGCCCAGACUCCUACGGGAGGCAGCAGUAGGGAAUUUUCCACAAUGGACGAAAGUCUGAUGGAGCAACGCCGCGUGCAGGAUGAAUGUCUUCGGAUUGUAAACUGUCUUUUGUUGGUGAAGAAUAUGACGGUAACCAACGAAUAAGGGUCUGCUAACUACGUGCCAGCCGCCGCAGUAAU
rnacentral:rRNA from 1 species